rnacentral:rRNA from 1 species
CAGGCUUAACACAUGCAAGUCGAGGGGCAGCAUGGUCUUAGCUUGCUAAGGCCGAUGGCGACCGGCGCACGGGUGAGUAACACGUAUCCAACCUGCCGUCUACUCUUGGACAGCCUUCUGAAAGGAAGAUUAAUACAAGAUGGCAUCAUGAGUCCACAUGUUCACAUGAUUAAAGGUAUUCCGGUAGACGAUGGGGAUGCGUUCCAUUAGAUAGUAGGCGGGGUAACGGCCCACCUAGUCUUCGAUGGAUAGGGGUUCUGAGAGGAAGGUCCCCCACAUUGGAACUGAGACACGGUCCAAACUCCUACGGGAGGCAGCAGUGAGGAAUAUUGGUCAAUGGGCGAGAGCCUGAACCAGCCAAGUAGCGUGAAGGAUGACUGCCCUAUGGGUUGUAAACUUCUUUUAUAAAGGAAUAAAGUCGGGUAUGCAUACCCGUUUGCAUGUACUUUAUGAAUAAGGAUCGGCUAACUCCGUGCCAGCAGCCGCGGUAAUACGGAGGAUCCGAGCGUUAUCCGGAUUUAUUGGGUUUAAAGGGAGCGUAGAUGGAUGUUUAAGUCAGUUGUGAAAGUUUGCGGCUCAACCGUAAAAUUGCAGUUGAUACUGGAUAUCUUGAGUGCAGUUGAGGCAGGCGGAAUUCGUGGUGUAGCGGUGAAAUGCUUAGAUAUCACGAAGAACUCCGAUUGCGAAGGCAGCCUGCUAAGCUGCAACUGACAUUGAGGCUCGAAAGUGUGGGUAUCAAACAGGAUUAGAUACCCUGGUAGUCCACACGGUAAACGAUGAAUACUCGCUGUUUGCGAUAUACUGCAAGCGGCCAAGCGAAAGCGUUAAGUAUUCCACCUGGGGAGUACGCCGGCAACGGUGAAACUCAAAGGAAUUGACGGGGGCCCGCACAAGCGGAGGAACAUGUGGUUUAAUUCGAUGAUACGCGAGGAACCUUACCCGGGCUUAAAUUGCAGAUGAAUUACGGUGAAAGCCGUAAGCCGCAAGGCAUCUGUGAAGGUGCUGCAUGGUUGUCGUCAGCUCGUGCCGUGAGGUGUCGGCUUAAGUGCCAUAACGAGCGCAACCCUUGUUGUCAGUUACUAACAGGUUCUGCUGAGGACUCUGACAAGACCGCCAUCGUAAGAUGUGAGGAAGGUGGGGAUGACGUCAAAUCAGCACGGCCCUUACGUCCGGGGCUACACACGUGUUACAAUGGGGGGUACAGAGGGCCGCUACCACGCGAGUGGAUGCCAAUCCCAAAAACCUCUCUCAGUUCGGACUGGAGUCUGCAACCCGACUCCACGAAGCUGGAUUCGCUAGUAAUCGCGCAUCAGCCACGGCGCGGUGAAUACGUUCCCGGGCCUUGUACACACCGCCCGUCAAGCCAUGGGAGCCGGGGGUACCUGAAGUGCGUAACCGCGAGGAGCGCCCUAGGGUAAAACUGGUGACUGGGGC